CAGUCGCCACGGGAAUACAGAGGGUGCGAGCGUUAAUCGGAUUUACUGGGCGUAAAGCGUGCGUAGGCGGCUUCUUAAGUCGGAUGUGAAAUCCCUGAGCUUAACUUAGGAAUUGCAUUCGAUACUGGGAAGCUAGAGUAUGGGAGAGGAUGGUAGAAUUCCAGGUGUAGCGGUGAAAUGCGUAGAGAUCUGGAGGAAUACCGAUGGCGAAGGCAGCCAUCUGGCCUAAUACUGACGCUGAGGUACGAAAGCAUGGGGAGCAAACAGGAUUAGAUACCCGUGUAGUCCCUGUCUCUUAUAC
rnacentral:rRNA from 1 species